rnacentral:rRNA from 1 species
AUACGGAGGGGGUUAGCGUUGUUCGGAAUUACUGGGCGUAAAGCGUACGUAGGCGGACUGGAAAGUUGGGGGUGAAAUCCCGGGGCUCAACCCCGGAACUGCCUCCAAAACUUCCAAUCUAGAGAUCGAGAGAGGUGAGUGGAAUUCCAAGUGUAGAGGUGAAAUUCGUAGAUAGUUGGAGGAACACCAGUGGCGAAGGCGGCUCACUGGCUCGAUACUGACGCUGAGGUACGAAAGCGUGGGGAGCAAACAGAAUUAGAAACCCUAGUAGUCC